UGCCAGCCGCCGCGGUAAUACGGGGGGUGCAAGCGUUAUUCGGAAUCAUUGGGCGUAAAGAGCGCGUAGGCGGUCUCUUAAGUCAGUUGUGAAAGCCCGAGGCUUAACCUCGGAAGUGCACUUGAAACUAAGGGACUUGAGUAUGGGAGAGGGAAGUGGAGUUCCUGGUGUAGCGGUGAAAUGCGUAGAUAUCAGGAGGAACACCGGUGGCGAAGGCGACUUCCUGGACCAAUACUGACGCUGAGGCGCGAAGGCGUGGGUAGCAAACAGGAUUAGAUA
rnacentral:rRNA from 1 species